CCCUUAGAUGUUCUGGGCCGCACGCGCGCUACACUGACGAUGUCAGAGAGUGUCUCCUUCACCGAGAGGUGUGGGUAAUCUUUUAAACAUCGUCGUGCUGGGGAUAGAUCAUUGCAAUUUUUGAUCUUAAACGAGGAAUUCCUAGUAAGCGCGAGUCAUCAGCUCGCGCUGAUUACGUCCCUGCCCUUUGUACACACCGCCCGUCGCUACUACCUAUUGAAUGGUUUAGUGAGGCCUUCUGACUGGCGCCGCUACUCUGGCAACAGAGCGGCGGAUGCCGGGAAGUUGGUCAAACUUGAUCAUUUAGAGGAAGUAAAAGUCGUAACA
rnacentral:rRNA from 1 species